rnacentral:rRNA from 1 species
AUGAAUUAUGCUUAUGGAGAUGAACUUGCUAUAGUUCCUUAUGUUAAACAUGAAAUUGUUUCUAUUGCACCCAUGCAUGAUAGUCCUAUUAUCUUCUUGAAUUCUCCCGACUAUACUAUAUCAGAGAAGUUUGCCCUUAUUAAGGAUUAUAUUGAUGGGUUGCAUUUUACCGCUACACAUGAUAAUUUUGAUGAAUAUAAUAUGCAUGUGCUUGCUGCUCCUACAUGCAAUUAUUAUGAGAGAGGAACUACACCUUUGCCUCUCCAUGUUUCCAAUACGAUAAAAUUGCAAGAAACUGUUUAUACUAUGCAUUGGCCUUUACUAUAUGUGCAUGAAUUGUUCUUUUAUGACAUGUUGAUGCAUAGGAAGAGAGUUAGACUUCGUUGUUGCAUGAUAUAUGUUACUUUGUGCUCACUACUAAACCACAAAUCAUUGUUAAUUAAAAUUGGCUUUGAUAUACCUUGGGAUCCGGGUGGAUUCAUUACUUGA